AAAUGAAUUGACGGGGACCCGCACAAGCAGCGGAGCAUGUGGUUUAAUUCGACGCAACGCGAAGAACCUUACCAAGGCUUGACAUGUUAAUGCAUAGCUAUGAAAGUAGUGAAAUCCUAGAAGCAAUUCAAAGACAUUAACACAGAUGGUGCAUGGUUGUCGUCAGCUCGUGUCGUGAGAUGUUGGGUUAAGUCCCGCAACGAGCGCAACCCCUGUUUUUAGUUGCCAGCAUUCAGUUGGGCACUCUAGAGAGACUGCCGUAGAUAAUACGGAGGAAGGUGGGGAUGACGUCAAAUCAUCAUGCCUCUUACGCCUUGGGCUACACACGUGCUACAAUGGACGAAACAAAGUGAUGCGAUAUAGUAAUAUGGAGCCAAACACAAAAACUCGUUCUCAAUUCGGAUUGUGGGCUGCAACCCGCCCACAUGAAGUCGGAGUUGCUAGUAAUCCCGGAUCAGCACGCCGGGGUGAAUGCGUUCUCGGGUCUUGUACACACCGCCCGU
rnacentral:rRNA from 1 species